rnacentral:tRNA from 1 species
AUUCAGUUGGUAGAGUACAAAGCUCUUAACCUUGUGGACAUGGGUUCAAUCCCCAU